UACCAGCUCUCCGAGUGGUAGGGAUGAUUAUUGGGCUUAAAGCCUCCGUAGCCGGCUUAGCAAGUCUCCUGUUAAAUUCAGCGACCUAAUCGUUGAGCCGCGGGAGAUACUACUAGGCUAGGAGGCGGGAGAGGUCAACGGUACUUCCGGGGUAGGGGUGAAAUCCUAUAAUCCCGGGAGGACCACCAGUGGCGAAGGCUGUUGACUAGAACGCGCUCGACGGUGAGGGACGAAAGCUGGGGGAGCGAACCGGAUUAGAUACCCGGGUAGUCCCAGCUGUAAACGAUGCGAGCUAGGUGUUGAGGUGGCUACGAGCCACUUCAGUGCCGCAGGGAAGCCAUUAAGCCCGCCGCCUGGGGAGUACGGCCGCAAGGCUGAAACUUAAAGGAAUUGGCGGGGGAGCACCACAAGGCGUGAAGCUUGCGGUUC
rnacentral:rRNA from 1 species